UUUCCCUCAGGAUAGCUGGGGCCCAUUACGAGUUCUAUCAGGUAAAGCCAAUGAUUAGAGGCACUGGGGACGCAACGUCCUCGACCUAUUCUCAAACUUUAAAUAGGUAGGAUGGCGCGGCUGCUUCAGUGAGCCGUGCCACAGAAUCGGGUGCUCCAAGUGGGCCAUUUUUGGUGAGCAGAACUGGUGAUGCGGGAUGAACCA
rfam:Triticum aestivum genome assembly, contig: Triticum_aestivum_CS42_TGACv1_scaffold_095439_2AL